GCAGUUGUGGCCGAGUGGUUAAGGCGAUGGACAAGAAAUCCAUUGGGGUCUCUCCGCACAGGUUCGAAUCCUGUCGACUGCG
rnacentral:tRNA from 1 species